AGCUAAAAUUGACGCGUAGAAGAGUCUGCACCAAGUAUAAGCGCCAGCCGCAUGUCCGCCCACGAGUGUUGGGACAACGGUAAACCCAAGUGGAAGAAAACAGACUCCGAGAAGAAUCGGGGCAUCCACGCAACAGGAGGGGGCACUGGUAUCACACCCGCUGAACAAUGGGCCCGUCCCUCCAUCUUGUGGGGGCACUGGUGUCCCACAUGGCAAUGCGGCUGCCAAGCCCGUACAACAGUGGCAGCGCCCGCGCUGGUUGGCCGGUGCUCUCAAUGCUGCCAGCCGCCUUUCCCGAAGCCACAGUGGACGAGCAUGACGACUGGCAUGAUGCCUGAUUCACCUGCCUCACCGCUGCUGGACUGGGGUGGCAUCAUGGAGGUUGCGGUUGCUGCGUCACCAACCAAGCCCCAGCUCCUCUACCUCCUCAGCCGCCACGUGUGAUUGUCCGAGUGAAGACAACUAAAGGUUGCACCGACUGGAGGAGCUACACCUGCUGCAGGUGGAGCUACAUCAGUGUCAGGUUGCCUAUUAACAGACGCAGGCCCAGGUCGAGCUUGAGCUACUUCAGCUCAACAAACUAAUCACGCUGCAACAACUGCUUGUUCUCGGGGUCCAGCCACAACAGUAGGCUGAUUUAUUCGAUUUGUUUCAUCUUCCUCUUUAGUAAUUACCAUUCUCUUUUGUGUUUAAGAAUGCUUUUUUAAGGUCUGUAACUUGCUUCAUUUUAUCUCUGACCUGAAGUUGUUACAAGUAUUGACCGUAUCUCGUUUGUUAAAGCCUAGCAUUUUUUUAACUUGUUUCUCGAUUUGCUAUUUGUAGUGAACAUUUUAUGCAAAAGGGCAGUUACGUCAGCUUUAAAUCUAUUCCUUUGAAACUUAGAAAGUAACAGAGUAUUUUUUUCUUACUAAUUACAUUGUUUGUAUGUUUAGACAACGGGAAGUUAG